CCUUAGUCAAGAAAUUUGCUAAGUGAUUGUUUCCAUAUUCGGGGAAACCUAGGUUGAGGAGAAUAAACAUAGUAGGUAAUCCUGAGCCAAAUUUUGUUUCCCUUACAAAAUAGGUGCAGAGACUCAAAGGAAACUAUCCAAACAAAAAUAAAUUAUUUAUUAAUUAUUAGUUCGUUCCACAAUGAAUUUUUAUAUAUUUAUAUAUAUAUAUAAGGAUAAAGAUAGAGUCCAUUUUUACACGCUAUGUUUGGCAACGAUGUAAGUCAUUGUAAAAAGAAAAUCCGUUGGCUUUUUAGACCGUGAGGG
rnacentral:ncRNA from 1 species